CGUAAUCUUAAAGAUAGCUGGUUUAAAGCUUACUAUUAUAUUUCUAUAAAAUAAAUUAUAGGUUUUUUAUUAAGAUUAUUAAUUUAAUUUUAAAAUUUUUGUAAUAAUGAUAGAAUUAGUAUAUUUAUUUGUAUGAAAUUUUUACCUUGUGAACUUAUUAUAAGGAACUAGGCAAAAUUGAUUUCCGCCUGUUUAUCAAAAACAUGUCCUCUUGUUUAUAUUUUGAGGUCUGGCCUGCUCACUGAGCGUAUUAUUAAAGAGCCGCGGUAUUUUGACCGUGCAAAGGUAGCAUAAUCAUUAGUCUCUUAAUUAGUGGCUGGAAUGAAUGGCUUGACGAGAAAUCAACUGUCUCUUAAUAAAUUUUUGAAUUUAACUUUUGAGUCAAAAGGCUUAAAUUCUUCUUUAGGACGAGAAGACCCUAUAGAGCUUGACAUUUUACUUUUAUAUAGUUUUUUGUUUGUCUUUCUAUAUUUAAUGAUGAUGUUUUGUUGGGGUGACAUGAAGAAUAGAUAAACUCUUCAUUAUUAUAUCAUUUAUUUAUGUUUGUUAUUUUGAUCCAUAAUUUAUGAUCAUAAGAUUAAGUUACCUUAGGGAUAACAGCGUAAUUGUUUUUGAGAGCUCAUAUCGACAAAGCAGAUUGCGACCUCGAUGUUGGAUUAAGAAAAAUUUUGGGUGCAGGAGCCCAAUGAUUAGGUCUGUUCGACCUUUAAAUUCUUACAUGAUCUGAGUUCAGACCGGCGUGAGCCAGGUCGGUUUCUAUCGUAAGAUUGUUAAUCCAUAUUAGUACGAAAGGACCAUAUGGUUAAAAUAUUUUUUGUUAUAUUGAUUAAUAUUAAUUUAUUUA